rnacentral:rRNA from 1 species
AGCAGUGGGGAAUUUUGGACAAUGGGCGCAAGCCUGAUCCAGCAAUGCCGCGUGAGUGAAGAAGGCCUUCGGGUUGUAAAGCUCUUUUGUCGGGGAAGAAACGGUGAGAGCUAAUAUCUCUUGCUAAUGACGGUACCUGAAGAAUAAGCACCGGCUAACUACGUGCCAGCAGCCGCGGUAAUACGUAGGGUGCAAGCGUUAAUCGGAAUUACUGGGCGUAAAGCGUGCGCAGGCGGUUUUGUAAGUUUGUCGUGAAAGCCCCGGGCUCAACCUGGGAAUUGCGAUGAAGACUGCAAGGCUUGAAUCUGGCAGAGGGGGGUAGAAUUCCACGUGUAGCAGUGAAAUGCGUAGAGAUGUGGAGGAACACCGAUGGCGAAGGCAGCCCCCUGGGUCAAGAUUGACGCUCAUG